rnacentral:rRNA from 1 species
GGUGAAAUUUCCUGGCUCAACCAAGAAAUUGCCGUUGAUACUGUCGGGCUGGAGUGUCGUGGGCGCGGGAGGAAUGCGACAAGUAGCGGUGAAAUGCUUAGAUAUGUCGCAGAACACCGAUAGCGGAGGCAUCCCGUGACGGGGCACUGACGUUGAGGCACGAAAGCGUGGGUAUCGAACAGGAUUAGAUACCCUGGUAGUCCACGCCGUAAACGAUGAUGACUGGGUUUUUGGCAUCAAGAGUCAAGAGCCUGAGCGAAAGCGUUAAGUCAUCCACCUGGGGAGUACGUUCGCAAGUAUGAAACUCAAAGGAAUUGACGGGGGCCCGCACAAGCGGAGGAACAUGUGGUUUAAUUCGAUGAUACGCGAGGAACCUUACCCGGGUUCAAAUGCAGGCUGCAUAGGUCAGAGAUGAUCUUUUCGAGCAAUCGACCGCCUGCAAGGUGCUGCAUGGUUGUCGUCAGCUCGUGCCGUGAGGUGUCGGGUCAAGUCCCAUAACGAGCGCAACCCUUGCCUCCGGUUACCAGCGGGUAAAGCCGGGGACUCAGGAGGGACUGCCGCCGCAAGGCGAGAGGAAGGGGGGGAUGACGUCAAAUCAGCACGGCCCUUACAUCCGGGGCGACACACGUGUUACAAUGGUCGGUACAGAGGGAAGCCAGGCGGCGACGCCGAGCGGAUCUCGAAAGCCGGCCGUAGUUCGGAUCGGAGUCUGCAACCCGACUCCGUGAAGCUGGAUUCGCUAGUAAUCGCAUAUCAGCCAUGAUGCGGUGAAUACGUUCCCGGGCCUUGUACACACCGCCCGUCAAGCCAUGGGAGCCGAGGGUGCCUGAAGUACGUAACCGCGAGGAGCGUCCUAGGGUAAAAUUGGUGACUGGGGCUAAGUCGUAACAAGGUAGCCGUACCGGAA